rnacentral:misc_RNA from 1 species
GGCUGAAUUAGCACCGUUGUGGCGCUAACAGGUCUGAGGUCUAAUGAAAGUGCAGGAGGGGGCCAUGGAAGAUGAAGCGACAGGGACGAGCAUCUCUCUGGGGUUGCAUUUUACGUGGGUCUCAUCUGCUCGGAGAAUUAUAUCAACGUUUCUGUGCCGCUUCUGAUCAGACAGCGACGUUAAACGAGCUCCGCAAAUCACCGGUAUGUUUCUGUACUAUUGCGCUGACAAGUCCAAAGAGGGUUCGUUUCAGUAGAACCAUUCUUAGAUUUCGGGCGUUACAUGUUUAAUUUAGUCUCGUUGUUGAUACAAACCC